rnacentral:lncRNA from 1 species
CAAAAAUAAAAAAAUUACCGAUACAUAAUAAAUUAUUUUAUUAAUUUAUGUUCUUUUCUUAUAAUAUUAUAUUAAAUAAGAUAAAUACGGCGAAAAUGCGUUUGAGACGAAAGCUAUUGGCAUUAUAUUAUCAUCAUUUUUUUUAAUUUAAUUUAAUUUUUUUUUUUUACCAAAUCUGUACCUGUACAGUGUACGUCGUAAUGUAUAAUAAUUUUGUCACGAUAUUUCUGGUCACCUGAUACGUAGUGUCUUAUUAUAACAUAUUAUAAUAUAUUGUUAGUGAAGAGUGUUCCACAAGGUAAAAUGAUAGUGAAUAAUAUUAUUACGAUCGUUUUCGAUUUUUAACCGUAUCACCGCCGCAGCUAAUGAUGUAAUAUCAUAGUGGUCAAUGAGUAAAGGUGAUUUGUAACGACAAAUAUUACUAUUGCACCUUUAUCAAAAGAAAAACCUUUAAAAAUCUAAUGCUAAUCGGCGAUAACGUCAUAAUAUACUAUAUGACACCUAUAUUAGUUGAAUAUCUCCAGAAAAAAAAAAUAUACAUUUUUUUUGUCCCGAGUUUUUAUAAACAUCUGUAAUGCAUCGAAGCAAGUCGACUCCCGAAAUAAUAUCGAUUUCAAACAAAAUUUCAAUCAACACCUUUAACCAUCCAUUAACCCUUUCAACUGAUAAAUUGUAUAAUACGUUUUUACCCUUUUACAAUGCAGUAAGACAUCGCAACUGCAACGGUUUUUUUGGUAUAGACGAAGCAAAAAAUCGAUUAUGACUUUGUUCUUCCAAGAACUUUAUGGCGAUCGCAAUAAUAAUAAAAAAAAAAAAAACACACCCCAAACACAUAUACCUAAUACGUAUGUCGUAUAUAUAUAAUAUAUGUUGAAAAAAAAAACGUACGCCGACACACACAGACACAUACACACACCGGCACACAUAUAUUCACGUGUUAAAUUUGAAAUCGCGCCUAUAAUAUAUUUACGGAAACAAUAAUAAGCAUUACUAUAUUAUAUGAAUCGAUUAAUGCAGAAAAGGCACGUGUCCGAAUUUUUUAAUUUUUCAAUAAAGACAAAAAUAGGUGAUUUAUACUUCUGAGAAAAGUCGAAACCGACUGUGCGUUUCUAUAUACGGUAUUUAUAUAAAGUAUUCAAGUAUUAUAAGACUUUAGUUUUUGUCUUUUUUGAAAAAUUAUAAAAUUUGAAUAUGUCACCUUUCUGCAUUUAACAAUUUAUACAGGGGCCAAAAAUAAUAUGCGCACUUGAUUUAUGCAUCAGGACAGAUUUGUAAAAAAAAAAAAAAUGCAUUGUAUAUUUUUUUUAAUCGACGCUAAAAUUAUUUUCUUUAAAAAAAAAAAAAACGUUCGUGGUAAUAUUUCAAUUAAAAAAAUUAUUUUUAUUAUUAUUGUUAUUAUUAUGUACACCUAUACCUACACACCUAUGUAAUAAUAAUAUACAACGCAUAUGUCACAGGUCGUUUUCGAAUCGUUGGACAAGUGCAGUAAAAUUAAUUAAAAAAAAUAAAACAAAAAAGUUAAUAAUAACAAUAAUUAUAUUCUCCGCAUAGGUAUAAACACGUUUUUUUGUUUUUUUUUUUUCCAUGAGCCGUUUUUCUAUACACACAAGCAUAUAAUAUGAUAAUAAUAAUAUGUAUGCACCCGCCAAAAGACGUUCAGCGCAAUAUUGAAAAAUAUUGAUUUAGGCCGUCAUUAAAAUGUCAUAAAAAUAAUGUAAAUUUAAAAAAAAAAAAAUAACCGUCAUUAUUAUGAUUGUUUUAAUAUUAUAAUAACUGCUACAAUAACCGCGUGUUAGAAAAUACGUUUAACAUAUAAUUAUACUGUACAAGGGUUUUUUUUCUUUUUUUUAAUGUCUAAUUUUAUUAUUACUAUUAUCGCGUCUAAUGGCCAACUUUUUUUAAAUGUAGAUUUCAUGAAAAAAAAAAAAAUAAAUAAAUAAAUAAUAAUAAUGAUAAAAUAUAUGGAUUACAGGGUAAUUUGAUACAGUUCGGAAAAAACUAACAAUUAUAAUAUAAUAACCGCGCGUCUAACAAUAAAAUAUAUUAUUAUGUCGAACAAUAAUAUUAUAGGUGGAACGGUUCCUUUUUUUUUUUUUUUUUUUUUUUUUUUUUUNNNNNNNNAAAAAAAAAAAAAAAAAAAAAAAAAAAAAACAUAUAAUAACAAAAUAAUUGUACAAGUUCUGAUUGAGAGUAACGGUAAAUAACCGUCGGGCGCCCGUUUAUAGGUGUAUCGGGGGAUGAGCGUGUGUGCCGUUGAACCCGAGGCCCGUACAAUAAUAUCGCAAUAACACAAGACGGUCUAAAUCGAUAGGGGCGUAAUAAAAACGCGGUAAACGUCUCGACUGCAAUAGUAUUAUGCUGUAUUAUUGCUGUAAUCACGCUUGCUCGACAUUACGACAUUUGUACGAUAAUAACAAUUAUUAUUAUUGUUAUUAUUAUUAUUACUAUUGUUAUUGUUAAUAUAUUAUAGAUAGGUCGGAGAGUCGUAACACACUAACGGGUGGCGCAGAGGCGGCAAUCGGUAUUACUCCGGCGUUUUACGCGCGACGACGCACGGUAUCGCAAAUAACAAUAACACGACAAACGCGUUUACGACGUGUUUUUUUUUUUUUUUUUUUUUUUUUUUUUUUACGAAAAAUAUUAAUGACGACAGCGCGCGCACGCGUACAGGCAGCGGACGCGCCGCCGCCGUAGAUACAAAACGAUUAGCGUCGGUCGGUUCCACAUUCCGCCGGUGGUUCCCGGACCCGUGGCCCGCGGGUUCGGCUACUCGAACAGCGGUCCGCGGGGCCGGUCACUAGUUGGUGGCCGCGGCGUACGGCAGUAUUGCCGACAUUUUGUCACGCGUAUCGCGCGCGUGGAUCGUGAAUACCGCGAAACGGGAACAAAAUGAAACGGGUGGCAGCAGUGAAACUGAGUGGUCCGCGGCGGCGGAAAAUUUACGAUAGCGGUCCGUGCCCAAUGUCGAACUGCGGGAACCGCCGCAGCGUGUUGUGCAUUAUCAUUAUUAUUAUUAUUGUUAUUAUUAUUAUUAUUGUUGUUGUUGUUGUUAUUGUUAUCGUCGUGCGAGCGAACGGAAAGUGCCGCCGGAGCCGUGUAGGUGCCGAGAGGGCCGAUUUCAUCGAUUAACCCGUGACCGAAAUAAACGCCGGAUAACUGGCGGUCGCGCGGCCGGCGAAAACCGUUUCGCGCCCGAUGCGAAAACGUGUCCCGCACGGUUCCGGAACACCAUAGGUCGCACCGUCGCGGAAAAAGAAACGGUUCGUUAUUCCGACGUCGGGUUCGUUUCGAUCGCGGUCGACAAAGGAUGCGCGAAGUGUUUUCCCCCCCCCCACUCCUUUUCUGGUUUCGGUAUAGAAUCGUAAAAAACCUCGUACCGCCCGAGCCCGGAAGAAUCCGCAUGCCCGUAACCGUCAGGCUUCUGGGACGUUUCCCCUGGGUACCGGCGUGACGGUAUAUUUUUACCUCGAUAAAUUUUACCUUCCCCUCCCCUCGGUAAAUAUAUCCCCGGAUAUAUUUACCCUCUCGGACAAAUCAAAAGGGGUAAAUAUUCAAUGGCAUAUAUUUAUACAAAUAUUAUCGGGUAUUUUUACCGGGAUAAAUUUAUACUAUAACGUAUCUACCGCCUUACAUUUUUCCUGAGGGAUGGUAAUAUAUAUCAGAAGUUAUUUUUAACGGGGAUAAAUAAAUUCCUGGGAUUAGCUUACCGAGGGAGCGGGGGUAAAUGUGUUUGGGCGUUAAAAUAUCCCGUUAUACAGCGGUAAUAGGGAAACCUAGUAAUUUUGCUGACGCGAGUGUUUAUUUCCAUAUAUAUCCAUGUAUUUCACGGGUUAAUGAAUGCGAUUUGCCCUCUCAUCGGUACACGAUGGCUGCUGCACUGAUUUCGUACACUUCUUAUGGCUCUACAUCAUCGUAUACAGUCGACUGUCCAAUCGUUUUAUAAAAUUCCCUUCUAAUUCCCAGCAGAAUUCGUUCCAAUUUCGCUAAAUAGUAACAAUAUUGCGCUCCAACACAUACUGUUAUGUAUUUAUAUUAAUGGGUAUUGGAUUGUAGUUUUCGUCAUUGCUGCAGUCCGCCGUAGGUUCGAGUAUCGUAUUUAAUUACAUUCAAUAUUUGUAUUGUCCUUUUUUUUUUUUUUUUCUUAAAAUAUUAUAAAACGUACCUAUCUAUAUUUAUUGAAUUUAACGCAUAUUAUGAAAUAUUGUCCAUUAGUUUUUUUUCUCGCCCGUCAUUCAAACGGUUUUGUCCAACGAAAUUUUAAACGCCUCUCGAUAUAAAACAGUUCAUAAAACAGUUCAUACAUUAUACAUUAUAUACGAAUGAAAAAUGCAAGCUUUUUGUAAAAAAAAAAAAAAAAAACCUAUAUAUUAUAUAACAAUAAUAAUAUAAAUAAAUAAUACUGAGGAACAAUACACACCUACAUUUUUGUACUGGUAUUUAUAAUAAACGUUUUCUAUAUACCGAUAUUAUUGAUUCAAUAAAUUAAAUUAUUAUUAUUAUUAUUAUUAUUAUUAUUAUUAUUAUUAUUAUUAUUAUCAUUGUUAUCAUUAUUGUCGGACGAAUGCCUAAUUAUUAUUAUUGAAAUUUCAGUUUAACAAUAAUAUUGCUAAACUAAAAAAAGAAAUAAAACACAUGUGUUACUUCUAUAUAAUAUAUUAUGUAUUUAUAUUAAACAUUUAUUAUACUUUCUUUACAUAUAUAUAUAUAUAUACAAUCAGCCAGAGCGUGUAAUUCAAAUACUUGUCAAUUUCAAAUGGAUUGGAAAAAGGCUGCACAAUUAUAAUAUAGAAAUUAGAAUGAAGUUUUUGUAAUAAUUAAAAUAAUGAUGAAAAAAAACAAAAAAAAAAUUUUUAAAAAUCAUGGUUCUCCGGUUGAAAAUCGAAAAUAUUACACCGAGAACGAUAUUUUAAUGUCGUUUUUUUUUUCCAAUAUCAUCAUUCAGCUAUCACGAAUUUUAUAUGUUUCGUGUAGAAAUUAAAAGCUUUUUUUACUGCACUUCUUUAUCAUUGAUUUUAAAUAAUAGUCUAUUAAUAUUUUAAUAAUGCGAAAAAAAAAGUUAACCAUAAACACGUUUAUACAUUGUCACGUUGUAAAAAAAAAAAUUAAAUAAAAAAUACUAAUAAUAAAAUACAAUUUUAAAAAGUAUAUAAAAUAAUUUUCCAAAAAAAAAUUUCAUAAUUAUCGACAAUCUUUUAUGUAUUUUUGAAACGAUUAAUCAGUGCAAAACGCGAGUAUAAUUCAUGCAAACUAAAGAUAUUAUAAUAUUAUGCGUACGCUUUCGGGUUUUAAUAAUAUUGCAACAUUUUAAUAUUAUUAUAAAAAUAAAAACAAUUACCGUAACAAUAUUCACGUCACAAAUAAUAAUAUUUUUUCAUGAAAAAAGCAAUAAAUAAGUUACAUAAUCUUCUUAUUUGUUUUGUCUUAUUUGUUAUUUUUUUUUUUUUGUUAUCCUUCGAGAAGUAUUUAGACUGUUUCCCCAAAUUUGUGUUCUUAACUAUUAAGUUCAUCAUAUAAUAUUAAUUAUCGUAUUAUACUCGUAACUUCCUAGGCGUUUUGUGUCGAAAAUGAAUAAAAACAAAAAACAUGAAGGAAGUAAGAACUCCCCGAAAAAAAAAUCUUUUCUUUUCAAACCAUAAAAUAUUAGAUAUAGGUAGGUGCAGUAUUAACAUUUUCGGACAAAUACAUUUUAAAUAAUGUAGUCGAAUCCUAUUCGAUCCUGGUCCACGCGAUUAUAUAGCAUUGCCAGCGUGACACUAUAGACGAUAGAGUAAUUAUCACGAAUCACCGUCGUGUGAACUACACGGCGAUAGUAAUUAAUGAACUACCGCGUAAGCUGAUAUGCGUGAUAAUUGAUGGCUAUACUAUCUCGAGAGAAUUAUUGAGAGCAAUAGUAAUACUAUCACAGUGUCUCGUUGAGAGGCACUAUCGUACUCGAUCCGACUUUAACAGACGUUUUUAUUUAAAUUCGCUCGACUAUAUCCAAAAGGACUGGAUUCAACGGUGGACAUAUUAUGGACAGCACAAUAGCGUCCCGGGUCCCCGCGUAUUUAUCGCCCCCUCGUCCAUUGUUUUCACGGUUUGGAAUCCCUGGAACGAUGCAGGGACUGCGAUAUCAGACGGAUGUCGUAUCAAAAUCGUUUAUUAGAUUAUUGCGAAAAUAGCUCGGGUCAGGAUGCAGUGUCCCCGGGCUCGAAAUUUAAGAAAUUUGUAUACAAAAUUCGGACUAAGUAGCGUUAGUUCCGCGGUAUUCUUAAACACGGUAUAUUAUACACUCCGCACAGUAUAUUAUCGAAAAACGUCGACGAGUCACUGAAAACUAAAGGCGAAUCACGGUUAUCAUUAUCAUCGUGUGGGCCGGGCUUUGUGACAUCCAUAUUAUUAUCAUCCGGACCCAUCGAUAUCCCGAUAGAAACGCGUUCGGCAGCGUAUUUGCACUCGUUUCGUUUCUAUGUAUUUGCGUUCUUCCUAAAAAUUAUUUCUAUAUACAUUAUUAUAAUUAUUAUUAUUAUUAUUAUUAUUAUAAUAUACUUGUAAAAUUUAUAAUUAUAUUUUGUCCUCUAUAUUAUAUUAUUAUUAUUAUUAUUAUUAUUAUUAUUAUUAUCAUCAUCAUCAUCGUUAUUAUAACUAUAUACUAUUAUUAUUAUUGUUAGACUUUUAGACGUUCGCUAUUUAUAACAUUAAACGUCCACCUACUUUUUCUCUUAAGCUAUUACAUAUACUCGUAUUAAUUUUAUAGGUACGGUGUACAAUUAUUUACAUUGUCGUUACUAUAUAAUAUUAUAUAGAAAUUGUAUGAUAAUAACAUUAAAAUAUUAUUCGACGUGAAGAGCAUGUUAAACUACUAAAUUUUUACCCGUGUUAAAAAAAAAACCAAAAAAAAAAAAAUAUGACAGAAAAACCAAAAAAAUUUAAAAAAUAAAAAAUAAAUAAAAAAAAACAAUAUUAAUAUCAACGACAGGUUUAGGAGAAAAUAUGAAAUUAUUAUAUUAUAUUAUUAUCGCUAUAUAUUAUAAUAUACAUACAUUCCUAGAUAUUUGUUUUGUAAAUAAAUAAUUAAAUCGUUUAUAUACAUAUUUGUUUUUUUUUUUUUUUGUUUCGAUUUUUUUUUUUAUUAUUAUUAUUAUUAUUGUAAGAUCCCUAUGAACGUAUUAUUAUAUAUUAUAUAUUAUAUUAAUUUUAAUUAAUAUAAUAUAUUAUAUAUAUUAUGUAUUAUAGUAGUAUAAUAUAUAUGUAAUAUUAUAUAUUAUCUAUAAUAAUAGUGGAUGUAAUAAUUUUAAUUUAGUACCUAUAUAUAUUAUUAUAUCAAUAAAAUAUAAUUAUUUGUAUAAUUGAUC